rnacentral:tRNA from 1 species
AUUAGGGUGGCAGAGCCAGGUACUAUGCACAGGGCCUAAGCCCUUGACACCAAAGUUCAAAUCUUUUCCCUAGUA